rnacentral:tRNA from 1 species
GGAGUUGUGCCUGAAGCCUAAGGGCCACCUUGAUAGGGUGUAAUACGGGGGUUAAAAUCCCCCCAACUCCU